CACAGUCUCUGUACAAAAACACAAGCUGACACACUGACAAGCUGCUGGAAGCCUUUUUUCCACACUGUUGUACUGAACUUUUUACCUCCACUAGAGGGCCACAUUAUCAAGUAGGCGGUGCACUACUUCUGCACUGUGUUCAACCAUUCUGUCAAUAAUAACUGCUGCUGUGAAGAGAACAAUUCUCAGACUGAAUGUUGAACAUCAGAUAGUUUCUCCUGUUGAUUUAAACCUUGUUGUAGAGAUGGAACAUUGGCUGUGGAUUAUUCUUGCUGCUCUUUUCUUUGAGUGUAAAGGACAAGACAGCGUGACCCAGCCAACAGGAGAUGUCAUUGCUGCUGAAGGAGACACAGUAACACUCGCUUGUACAUUUCCGAAGAGUGGAAAUCCAACUUUGUUCUGGUACAAACAGGAUGGAAACAACAGCCCCAAAUUCAUCCUGAGCCGAGUUAACCUGGAUGAAGGGAACACACCAGAUGAGUUUAAAGAAAGAUUUUCAUCCACACUGGUUUCCAAUUCAGUUCCUCUGAAGAUCCAGAAGCUGCAGCUGUCUGACUCUGCUGUGUACUACUGUGCUCUGCAGCCCACAGUGACAGGAAACACCAAAACU